rnacentral:rRNA from 1 species
UGGGGAAUAUUGGACAAUGGGCGAAAGCCUGAUCCAGCCAUGCCGCGUGUGUGAAGAAGGUCUUCGGAUUGUAAAGCACUUUAAGUUGGGAGGAAGGGCAUUAACCUAAUACGUUAGUGUUUUGACGUUACCGACAGAAUAAGCACCGGCUAACUCUGUGCCAGCAGCCGCGGUAAUACAGAGGGUGCAAGCGUUAAUCGGAAUUACUGGGCGUAAAGCGCGCGUAGGUGGUUUGUUAAGUUGGAUGUGAAAUCCCCGGGCUCAACCUGGGAACUGCAUUCAAAACUUACUGACUAGAGUAUGGUAGAGGGUGGUGGAAUUUCCUGUGUAGCGGUGAAAUGCGUAGAUAUAGGAAGGAACACCAGUGGCGAAGGCGACCACCUGGACUAAUACUGACACUGAGGUGCGAAAGCGUGGGGAGCAAACA